rnacentral:rRNA from 1 species
UACGGAGGAUGCAAGCGUUAUCCGGAAUGAUUGGGCGUAAAGCGUCCGCAGGUGGCAAUGUAAGUCUGCUGUCAAAGCGUCUGGCUCAACCAGAUAAAGGCAGUGGAAACUACAUAGCUAGAGUAAGGUAGGGGUAGAGGGAAUUCCUGGUGUAGCGGUGAAAUGCGUAGAGAUCAGGAAGAAUACCGGUGGCGAAAGCGCUCUGCUGGACCUUAACUGACACUGAGGGACGAAAGCUAGGGGAGCGAAUGGG